GCAAUAUUUAAUUAUUUGAUAAGAAUCAAUUGAAUGGCUGCAUUCGACAUUGCCGUCGAUUGCUGUAUAAAAGCACAAUGUUUCGGUUUAAUCGGUAUCAGUUCACUCUUAUUGUUCUUUCAUAUUCGAUCCUUGAGACCGGAUUUCUUCGAAAAUGAAAGUCGCUGCUGUUAUUUUAUUGGCCUUCGUCAGUUGCAUCUCUGCACAAUUAUGGCGUGGAGAAGAUUUCUCUCACACUGAUGGUCGCCCAGGAUGCCAACUCCCCAUCGAAAGCCAACAGAAGUGGCGAAACAACUUUGACAAUGUGAGAUAUUGGGUGUGCACAAAUGGCCAGGCCGUUUCAUACAUUUGCCCCACUGAAUACUUGUUCGACUUCGACCGACAAUGCUGCAUUCGUUGGAAUUUCUGGGUAUGGACACCACCUUUCGAUCCACCAACUCUUGGUUAAAUUUCGUAAUUAUAAUAUUUUGGAUUGGUGAUGCUCAUAGAGUUUGAAUAAAAAAAUAUUGUCGUGCAAUAA